UAGCUUUUAGAAAAAGAGUCAGUGCCAGUCACAGCCAGGAAGGGAAAUCUAUUGGACAAAAUACAUUUAAGAUGAAAAAUUUCUAACUGUCUACGGGGUGACUCGCACCAAAGAAUGUUUAGAGGUAGGAACUAUAGGUGAUCUGCUCUUUCUUAUGACAAAUUGCAAAAGACAAGAAUCUCCCACAGGAGCUGAACAUGUCCACAUACCCUCCCAAAUGCAACUUCCUUGCAUUUCUUAAUUAUGCUGUUUUACUGAAGAAAUUAAGUUAUAUUGUUUAGUCAUUAGCUAAGUAAUAGUAUGCAUGAAUAUGACGUAAAACUUGGCUUCUGGAGAAUAUCUGCAAAUAAAUAAUAAAUCUUCUUGUGAAACAAAUGCUAGAAUAUUAUUACCUGCUUUAAUGGCCUUUUGUCCUAGAACAAAUCUCAUAAGAACCAAUGAUUAGAAGAAAAACAUGGCAAAGUAAAAAGAAAUAAAACAACAAAAGCAUCAAAAACAAAACUCUUAUUUAUAGCAUCAUUUUGUACUAUCACAAGAACAUUCACUUAAAAAUCAAAUAUCUUACCCGAUGGCAGAAACAAUUUUGUAAGUCAUAAGGAACAUCUUGUUAUGAACACUUUCUACUUGCAGCAGAAUGGAAGAAAUUGAAGACUGCAGGUGUCACAGACUCCCCUCCUGUUUCUGACGCUAAUAAACUGAGACCAAGCAAGGCAAAUCUCCUCUGCAGAACUGCUUAAAGAAACUCAUCUCCAAAGCCUACUGCACCCCUGAGAACAGAGCUUCCCCUCAAGCCCCUCGACCCCGAUUUCCCAGCCUGACCACUGUUCAGGAGAGCCC